rnacentral:rRNA from 1 species
UACGUGAGAGGCAAGCGUUACUCGUCAUUAAUGGGUCUAAAGGGUACGUAGGCGGUCGGUUAAGUCGGAUGUGAAAUCUCGUGGCCUAACCACGAGCGGUCAUUCGAAACUAAUCGGCUAGAGGGCUGGAGAGGAGACUGGAAUUGUCGGUGUAGCGGUGAAAUGCGUAGAGAUCGACAAGAACACCGGUGGCGAAGGCGGGUCUCUGGACAGUUCCUGACGCUGAGGGACGAAAGCGUGGGGAGCAAACAGG